GUUGCAAUUUGUCAGCAAUCUGCAGUUUUCUCCUGUCUUGAAUCUUUCUAAACACACAGCACAUUCCGAGAAAUGAAAUAUCAGGAGAACAAUUAUUCCCAAAGAAAAGAAGAUCACAGAUAUUAUAAUGCCCAUUAUGCACCAAAGAAACUUCCGCGCAAUCCUUGGUCAGAAUAUGGCGAAAAACAGAGAAGUUUUUGGAGAAAUGAUCAUACAUCAAACAACAUUGAUCGUUGCCAAGGUACUAUGGAACAUGUUUUAAACUUGACUUGCUGUUUGCCUGAUUAGUUGUGUUUUUCGUCUAUAAUGGAAGUAGCUAGACAUGUAUUUGUUUUUGGUGCUACAGACAGACAAUAAGAGAAGGUUAAUCCAUUAUGAAGGAAUAAAAUUAUUACUAAUUUGUCAAAACUUAAGCACAACAUAUACAGCUUAGCAAUGUUUUCAUGA